rnacentral:rRNA from 1 species
GACGAACGCUGGCGGCGUGCUUAACACAUGCAAGUCGAACGGCAAGGCCCUGCUUUUGUGGGGUGCUCGAGUGGCGAACGGGUGCGUAACACGUGAGUAACCUGCCCUUGACUUUGGGAUAACUUCAGGAAACUGGGGCUACUACCGGAUCGGAUCUCCUGCUCCAUGGUGGGGGUUGGAACGUUUCGGCGGUUGGGGAUGGACUGGCGGCUUAUCAGCUUGUUGGUGGGGUAGUGGCUUACCAAGGCUUUGACGGGUAGCCGGCCUGAGAGGGUGACCGGCGACAUGGCGACUGAGAUACGGCGCAGACGGCUACGGGAGGCAGCAGGGGGGAAUAUUGCACAAUGGGCGGAAGCCGGAUGCAGCGACGCCGCGUGCGGGAUGACGGUCUGCGGGGUGUAAACCGCUGUCGCCUGUGACGAAGCUGGAGUGACGGUAAUGGGUAAAGAAGCACCGGCUAACUACGUG